UCGUGGUACGAGCUGUCUGGUUAAUUCCGAUAACGAACGAGACUCUAACCUGCUAAAUAGUACAGUUGCAAUUAUUAUGCGGAUCGUUGUAUUGGUGCUCAUGUGCCGAUAUAGCCCCGUAUAAGCAGGUGAAACUUCUUAGAGGGACUGGCGGUCAAAAAACCGCACGAGAAAGAGCAAUAACA
rnacentral:rRNA from 1 species